GCAAGCUCACCAGCCUUAUCCACAGUGUCGAACAGGUUGUCAGGUCCAACUAAAAAUAUUUCAAAGAAAAUUUCACCUAUUAGAAAGUUGCAUAACAAUUUUCACCAAUGAGAAUUACCCAUAUGACCCAUGUAAUACUUACACAAGCUCUCCAGACUUAGUUGGGCUGCCUCUAACUGUUUUGUCAGCAUGAGGUUGGCCUGCUUUAAACCUGAAACUUCUUCUUUGUCAAGUCAAGUCAAGUCAAGUUUAUUUGUAUAGCACAUUUCAGCAGCAGGGCAAUUCAAGGUGCUUUACAUGAAACAAGCAGGCAAAACAUUCAACACAAUUUAAAAAGUAAAAACAGCGUAAAAGACAUUUAACAGAUUAAAAGUUACAUUCAAAGCUAAAAUAAGAUUGGAGAUAAAAGAAAACAAAGGUUAGAUUGGAGAGAUAGAAAAAAAAGAUCAAGACAGGCAGAUGAUGAAGAUGUUGAUUAAAGGCCUCAGGUUUGAUUUAAUGAUAGGCCACAGCAAACA